rnacentral:lncRNA from 1 species
CAGACUUCCCUAGUGCUAGGAUGCAUGUGUCAGGAAGGUACCAAGUGUGAGGUUGCGUUUAUAUUUGAUACCUCAGUUUUCUAGGCAGGGUCUCACUCACUGCUUCUGCUAGGCUUGAACUCAUAUCCCUCAAGGGCUGGCAGGCAUCAAGUGUCAAUAGAGAUGGAGUGGUCUGGGGUCUCACCUCCAUAAUACUGCUGGAGGAGGGAGGGGGCAGGAGCACUUGUGUGUCUGCAGGGACUUUUCACAGGCAGUGCCUAGUGGUGGCAGAACAUCACCAGGGAAGCUAGAGGUUGAGCGGGUGAACAGGGACAAGCCACCCUUUCUUUUCUGACCUGACUCUUGGGUUCCCAGAUCUCAUUGCCUUCAUGGAAGGAAGCAGACAUUCCCCACGAUACACUCUGUGG